UUGCACUAAGAAUAUCAUAUCAAAACGAGUGUAUUAAUUAUUGCUCUUAAAUUACCGACCUAUGUAGAGGAAUGAUAUAUUUCAACGGAGGAGUAAUUGUACGAUAUAAAUAGUAUCCUUUGAUGGCUGACCUCAAUUUUGACAACGGACGAUGAACUGUUUGUACAGUCAUAGAUUGGUUUAUACAUCUAUGGUACAGUGUAAGCUGUGUGAGUGGAUCAUUUUGUUGAAUGAUAAUCGGUCCAAUUAAUACCAGUCAGAAAGCACCAUAGUGACACAAAAUGGUCCAGAAAUACAACGAUCAGCGGAACAAAGAUUUGGAUCAAGGUUGGGCUUGGGUAAUAAUGAUUGCUGCAACGGGAACCAUUAUGAUUAAUUCAAUACUCCUUCAUUGCACCGGAGUCCUGCAUGUUGCUCUCCUGGAGAAAUUUGAAGAGGACAAUGCUUACACAUCAUUGAUUGGAUCAAUAUACAGCUGUCUUUUCUCAU